ACGAAGCUUGAUUACGGAAUUCUUCGGAAAGAAGUAUGAUAUGACUUAGUGGCGGACGGGUGAGUAACGCGUGAGUAACCUGCCUUUCAGAGGGGGAUAACGUUUGGAAACGAACGCUAAUACCGCAUGAAAUAUAUUUAAGGCAUCUUAGAUAUAUCAAAGAUUUAUCGCUGAGAGAUGGACUCGCGUCUGAUUAGAUAGUUGGUGAGGUAACGGCUCACCAAGUCGACGAUCAGUAGCCGGACUGAGAGGUUGAACGGCCACAUUGGGACUGAGACACGGCCCAGACUCCUACGGGAGGCAGCAGUGGGGAAUAUUGCACAAUGGGCGCAAGCCUGAUGCAGCAACGCCGCGUGAGGGAAGACGGUCUUCGGAUUGUAAACCUUUGUCUUUGGUGAAGAAGAAAGUGACGGUAGCCAAGGAGGAAGCCACGGCUAACUACGUGCCAGCAGCCGCGGUAAUACGUAGGUGGCAAGCGUUGUCCGGAAUUACUGGGUGUAAAGGGAGCGCAGGCGGGACAGCAAGUUGGAUGUGAAAUACCGAGGCUUAACCACAGAGCUGCAUCCAAAACUGUUGUUCUUGAGUGAAGUAGAGGUAGGCGGAAUUCCGAGUGUAGCGGUGAAAUGCGUAGAUAUUCGGAGGAACACCAGUGGCGAAGGCGGCCUACUGGGCUUUAACUGACGCUGAGGCUCGAAAGUGUGGGGAGCAAACAGGAUUAGAUACCCUGGUAGUCCACACUGUAAACGAUGAUUGCUAGGUGUGGGGGGUCUGACCCCCUCCGUGCCGGAGUUAACGCAAUAAGCAAUCCACCUGGGGAGUACGGCCGCAAGGUUGCAACUCAA
rnacentral:rRNA from 1 species